rnacentral:miRNA from 1 species
CCUUCAUCUGUAGUGGAUGCAGUGUGUAUACUGUGGAUAUGAAUAUAUAUAUAUAUAUAUAUAUAUAUAUAUAUAUAUAUAUAUAUAUAUAUUCAUAUCCACAGUAUACACACUGCAUCCACUACACAUGCACU